rnacentral:rRNA from 1 species
UACGUAGGGUGCAAGCGUUGUCCGGAAUUAUUGGGCGUAAAGAGCUCGUAGGCGGUCUGUUACGUCGGCUGUGAAAACCUGGGGCUCAACUCCGGGCCUGCAGCCGAUACGGGCAGACUAGAGUUCGGCAGGGGAGACUGGAAUUCCUGGUGUAGCGGUGAAAUGCGCAGAUAUCAGGAGGAACACCUGUGGCGAAGGCGGGUCGCUGGGCCGAAACUGACGCUGAGGAGCGAAAGCGUGGGGAGCAAACAGG